UCCUUGGAGGACUAGUGGUUAAGCCUUGGCGCUCUCACCGCUGUGGCCUGGGUUCGAUUCCCUGCCAGGGAA
rnacentral:tRNA from 1 species